UAUAUAUUUUAACCCAGCAUGUAUUUGGAUAUAUUCAGAAGAACAAAUGGGACAGUUAGCGAUAUGACAGGAAGUGUGUGGGAGAGAGAGAUGGGGGCUGGGAACAGGUAUUUGUGCUUUGAGGAGAACAUAUUGGCCACUUCAGAGCUACCACUAUCUUGGGAGAAAAUCACCACUUCUAGCAAUUUGUCUUUAGCCAUAUGUUCCUCUUUCUAAAGCAGUGUGUGGGUUUGUGUACAUGAUAGGCUUGUAAUGGUUGCCUAACACGCUCAAAUCUCUGAGCUGUGUGUGUGUCCCUUUGAGGAGGCUAUUAAGUGUAUUGCCUAUAUCUAGCAGGCAUUGAUUGUGCAGUGUCCGGCGUUCACAAUGAUUCUACACUGCUAAUCGCAUCUGCACAAUCACAUUAAAAUUGAAAGAUAAGACUUCUCUCAUCACAAGAUUACAGGAUUUAAUAGUGCACAGAGUAUUCUUUCAGAAACAUUAUUGCUUAUGGUUACAAUAAUGAAGAUAGUAAUGGAGUUGAC